GAUGGGGAACUCACUAUUUUAUAUCGAAUAGGUAAACUCAUUCUAUGCUUCCAUAUUUGAUGCCAGGAAACUCUUCCUACAUUGAAUUGCUCGUUUCCUGAUUUCAAUGAAUGGUCCAAGAGCUAUUUUUGGGGUUUUAGACUUAAACUUAAAAAUAAAUAAAUAAAUAAAUAAGCAAAUAGUUAAAAGCAUUUAGAAUGUAUUCUCUUCCUUUUCCAUCAUCUUCAGCUUCUCCUUUUAUGACAGUCUUUCAGUCCCCUUAGUACCCAGAAACCUUAUCUCCUUUGACUACUUUGCAAAUUCUUAUAAUCAGCUUAAGGCUGAGGUCUGACGCUAAAAAUAAAGCCUCGCAGGUCUCCCUUAUUCUACCUGCUGGUACACUUGAAGGAAACCCCAGAUUGCGUUACUUUCUUGACAAUUGCAUCAUACUGCUGAUUCACACUAAGCAUACUGUUGAUAACAUCUCACAAAAUCCCUCACCUGCACUGCCUAUGUCAUCAACAACAAAUGGCUCUAUGAACGAAUGGGAAAGUGAAUACAUGAAGCAAAGUGACCCCACUCACCGUGGGACACCUGUGUGAACAGAUGUCCACAUGUAAGGCGAAGGAAGUCACCACCGCCCAUAGAGGAACAGAAAACACAACUGAAGAGGAAAUGUGCUGGAGUCAAAGAGAGCAAACUGCACACUAGUUACAUAUUCUCCUACCACCACGACUCACCUUCCGUUUUCAGACUCCAAGAUUACAGAAUUGUGCACAGAAGAGGAACAAGCGUUAUUGUUUUACUUGCUAUCUCAGAACUGUAAUACGAUUCCUUUAAACUUUAAAGCUUUGACUUCUCUAGACUUUUCUUAGACUUAUCAGUUUGUCUAGCGCCCCCGCCUUCCAUGAAACCUACACAAACUUCAAUAAAGUUUUUUAUUAAUUAGAAUA